GAUGAAUGCUGGCGGCGUGCCUAACACAUGCAAGUCGAGCGGCAGCGCGGAGAGUUUACUCUCUGGCGGCGAGCGGCGGACGGCUGAGUAACGCGUGGGAACGUGCCCCAAAGUGAGGAAUAACUGCCCGAAAGGGUGGCUAAUGCCGCAUAUGAUCUUCGGAUUAAAGGAUUUAUCCGCUUUGGGAGCGGCCCGCGUCGGAUUAGGUUGUUGGUGAGGUAAUGGCUCACCAAGCCGACGAUCCGUAGCUGGGCUGAGAGGAUGAUCAGCCAGACUGGGACUGAGACACGGCCCAGACUCCUACGGGAGGCAGCAGUGAGGAAUCUUCCACAAUGGGCGAAAGCCUGAUGGAGCAACGCCGCGUGCAGGAUGAAGGCCUUCGGGUUGUAAACUGCUUUUAUAAGUGAAGAAUAUGACGGUAACUUAUGAAUAAGCACCGGCUAACUACGUGCCAGCCGCCGCGGUAA
rnacentral:rRNA from 1 species